rnacentral:tRNA from 1 species
UCCGAAUUGGUGUAGUGGCUAACAUUUGACGCUCUCAAUGUCUAACAACAUUAAAACCGUCAAGCCCGGUGUUCGAUUCCCCGAUUCGGAG